UAUUAAUGUAGCUUGUGUCUACAGCAGGGAGGCUUGGGGUGCGGGACACUGGAGAUGCUUGAUGUGGAAGACUUAAUAUGCUAGAAGGAAAGGUUCGCAGAGUUUUUGUGAGUCAGUUGAACUUUUAAUUUUAACAGGGGGACUGCAUCUCGCAAAAUGAUUCCUAGCUUUUGUGCUGGAAAUAAAAAGACAAGCAAAGCAAUGUAUAAUUUAGACUGCCAUAAUUAUUAGGAAAUAAUCUGUAUACAGAGUAGCACUUGGCAGGGGCCAUCAGGAGCAACGGGUGGGAAACGGCGUGCCCGGCACUCAUGGGCCACACGCGGCCUCGCCUACACCUUCUGGAGCAGGGGAGGCACGGCUUGAGCCACCUCAGUGAGGUAUCAGUGAAAGAGAUCUACGGCGGCCAAACUUCUGAAACCUUUGAAAAAUAAGCAGUGGGAUGCUGUCUAGUCAAAAGCAUAGGUACGUCCUCGCAAAGAAAACACACACAGCCCAGCCUGGGAGACGGCAGCAGUCUGAGCAGUGGAGCUAACAGCUGGCCCCCACACCGUAAGCUUGAGGAACACAGAAGCCAGGAUAAUGGCUGCUAUUAAUGUCUUUAUAUCUGUCUGACGUGUGCUGAUAAUCUACUCUGGAGUGAAAAUACUAACCAGUGUACCACGUUUGAUUGUACUGUAUUAUGAAGAUUCCUGAAACAGAGUUUCCAACAAGAUGUAGUGAUGAAGAAUAAAACAGGACCCAGAAUGUUCCAUAAACUUGUGAGAAGGCAGUAAUGCCAGCUCACAGUGUCAAAGGUAUGGACCAGGAGACACAGCAAAAACUGACAGUUCCCUUCUCUGUGGGUCCACCCCCACCCUGUGCAUGACUACGUACUGUUCCUUCAUGUGUCUGUCUCCUUCUACUGGAAAUACACCCAACUCAAUUCCGCAUCCCUGGCACUUGCAAACAUAUGUGCCCUACAGCAAGAAGAUGGUCUUGUGUGGGCACAUAAGGCCUUGCCUGUGCUCACUGAGCAGCUCUAGGAGGGAGGACUCAUGGAAAGUAUGAGGGCUGCGCACAGCACUUUAUGAGGCGGUCAGGGGUUAGACUACCUAGGUUUGAAUCCUGGCCCCAGCACGUAGAGUGAGAAUCCUGAAUGUUAUUUAGUCUCUCUGAGCCUCAGUUUUGUAAAAUGGGGAUUAAAAAUACCAUCCACAUCAUAAGACUGUGAGAUGUGAAUUAUAUUUACUGUAUACUGCCUGACACAGGGUAGGUGCUCAGUGUAUGCUCCCCAUUAUAAUAAAAGCACAGAAACA